AGUCGAGCGAUGAACACCUUCGGGUGUGAAUUAGCGGCGAACGGGUGAGGAACACGUGAAGAAUCUGCCUUCAACUCUGGGAUAACUCCGGGAAACCGGGGCUAAUACCGGAUAUGAGCCUCGAUCGCAUGAUUGGGGCUGGAAAGUUUUUCGGUUGAAGAUGACUUCGCGGCCUAUCAGCUUGUUGGUGAGGUAAUGGCUCACCAAGGCGACGACGGGUAGCCGGCCUGAGAGGGCGACCGGCCACACUGGGACUGAGACACGGCCCAGACUCCUACGGGAGGCAGCAGUGGGGAAUAUUGGGCAAUGGAGGAAACUCUGACCCAGCGACGCCGCGUGAGGGAUGAAGGCCUUCGGGUUGUAAACCUCUUUCAGUAGGGAAGAAGCGAAAGUGACGGUACCUACAGAAGAAGCACCGGCUAACUAUGUGCCAGCAGCCGCGGUAAUACAUAGGGUGCAAGCGUUGUCCGGAAUUAUUGGGCGUAAAGAGCUCGUAGGUGGUUCGAUACGUCGGAUGUGAAAAUCAGGGGCUCAACCCCUGACCUGCAUCCGAUACGGUCGAGCUAGAGUUUGGUAGGGGAGACUGGAAUUCCUGGUGUAGCGGUGGAAUGCGCAGAUAUCAGGAGGAACACCGAUGGCGAAGGCAGGUCUCUGGGCCAAUACUGACACUGAGGAGCGAAAGCGUGUGGAGCGAACAGGAUUAGAUACCCUGGUAGUCCACGCCGUAAACGGUGGGCGCUAGUUGUGCGAACCUUCCACGGUUUGUGCGACGCAGCUAACGCAUUAAGCGCCCCGCCUGGGGAGUACGAUCGCAAGAUUAAAACUCAAAGGAAUUGACGGGGCCCC
rnacentral:rRNA from 1 species